rnacentral:tRNA from 1 species
CCUGGCGCUGGCCAGCCGGGUAUUGGCCGCCGCCUGCCGGGCGGCAAGCGCCGUAUCCAGACUGGUUUCGCCCAGCCGCCAGGCCC